rnacentral:rRNA from 1 species
UACGUAGGGGGCAAGCGUUGUCCGGAUUUAUUGGGCGUAAAGAGCGUGUAGGCGGCCUGACAGGUCUGCUGUGAAAACUCGAGGCUCAACCUCGAGAUGUCGGCGGAAACCGUCUGGCUAGAGUCCGGAAGAGGAGAGUGGAAUUCCUGGUGUAGCGGUGAAAUGCGCAGAUAUCAGGAGGAACACCGAUGGCGAAGGCAGGGCUCUGGGCCAUUACUGACACAGAGAAGCGAAAGCAUGGGGAGCGAACAGG